rnacentral:rRNA from 1 species
CAGCUUGACUGCGAGCGUGACGGCGCGAGCAGGUGCGAAAGCAGGUCAUAGUGAUCCGGUGGUUCUGAAUGGAAGGGCCAUCGCUCAACGGAUAAAAGGUACUCCGGGGAUAACAGGCUGAUACCGCCCAAGAGUUCAUAUCGACGGCGGUGUUUGGCACCUCGAUGUCGGCUCAUCACAUCCUGGGGCUGAAGUAGGUCCCAAGGGUAUGGCUGUUCGCCAUUUAAAGUGGUACGCGAGCUGGGUUUAGAACGUCGUGAGACAGUUCGGUCCCUAUCUGCCGUGGGCGCUGGAGAACUGAGGGGGGCUGCUCCUAGUACGAGAGGACCGGAGUGGACGCAUCACUGGUGUUCGGGUUGUCAUGCCAAUGGCACUGCCCGGUAGCUAAAUGCGGAAGAGAUAAGUGCUGAAAGCAUCUAAGCACGAAACUUGCCCCGAGAUGAGUUCUCCCUGAGACUUAAAGUCUCCUGAAGGAACGUUGAAGACGACGACGUUGAUAGGCCGGGUGUGUAAGCGCAGCGAUGCGUUGAGCUAACCGGUACUAAUGAACCGUGAGGCUUAACCUUACAACGCCGAAG